GUGUGUGUGUGUGUGUGUGUGUGUGUGUGUGUUUGUGUAGCGUCGGUGGUCAUCACGUGUCAGGUGCGCAUGGGCCGAGGUGAGAGUGGACGUGUGUGUGUGCAAGGUAGUGAGUACGUCCGCUCCUGUGCCCGCCCCGUGGCUGCACUUGGGUCUUAUUUGGUCUGGCCUUGACCCAUCUCUGUGCCAGGCGGCCCCGAGAAAAGAAAAGAAAAAAAAA